UAUCGGAACGUGCCCAGUCUGGGGGAUAACGUAGCGAAAGCUACGCUAAUACCGCAUACGAUCUAUGGAUGAAANCGGGGAUCGCAAGACCUCGCGCGAUUGGAGCGGCCGAUAGUCAGAUUAGGUAGUUGGUGAGGUAAAGGCUCACCAAGCCGACGAUCUGUAGCUGGUCUGAGAGGACGACCAGCCACACUGGGACUGAGACACGGCCCAGACUCCUACGGGAGGCAGCAGUGGGGAAUUUUGGACAAUGGGCGCAAGCCUGAUCCAGCAAUGCCGCGUGCAGGAUGAAGGCCUCGGGUUGUAAACUGCUUUUGUACGGAACGAAACGGUGAGCUCUAAUACAGUUUGCUAAUGACGGUACCGUAAGAAUAAGCACCGGCUAACUACGUG
rnacentral:rRNA from 1 species